GUGCCCAUAGCUCAAUUGGUUAGAGCCUCGCGUUGUGGUCGCGGAGGUUGCCGGUUCGAACCCGGCUGGGCACC
rnacentral:tRNA from 1 species